rnacentral:lncRNA from 1 species
GGGCCCAGGAGCCAAUCAGCACCUGGGAACAGACCAGAGGACCCUUCCCAGCUCCGCCCACACUCCCAGGGAUUAGGCCAAUUGGGCACAUUUGAUACCCAGAGGGUUUCCGCCACCUGGCUGCCUAGCCCUGGGGAAGGGGUGUCGGACAUGUCUGUGGGCUCAGACAGGGGGCUGGACCGAGGCCAAGGAGUGAUCCCCAUAUCUUCCUGAUGCAGGGAAUGGCCUGCCCACCGCAGGGCCCCCCUGGAGGCCAGCAGUGGCUCCUGGUGCUGCUGGUGCUGAGAUAUCUGCUGCCCGUAGGUCCUUUGCAGAAUGAAACGAUCAACACCAGGUGGGCUCCCCCAGCCCCUUCAGCUCGCUGCCUGGCCUCUGCUGUUUCUGGACAUUUCAAGCUGAUGUGUGCCCCAGGCCCUUGGCCCUAGCUUUCACUCCAUCCGUUGUUCUUUCUGGAGCUCUCCCCAGAGUUGCCUACUCCUCUUCAUUCCCUGUUGACCAGUUGCUCUCAUAAAAAAUACUGGAAAA